AGCCCGACGUGGAGGCAAGCGCUGGGCUGCCCUGAGGACCAGGCGGUCAGGCUGAGGUCUGCGGACCCUGAGGACGGGAGUGGGGCGGGGAGGACAGAGGCCGCAGCCCUGGCACGAGUCAGGGUUGGAGGUGUUCUAAGGCUGAUCUUGAACAUGAGCAGACCCAGGCUGUGUGGGUCGUGUGUGGUGUUGGGGGGUGUACACAGAGUUGGGGGUUGGUUUGCACUGAGCAGUCACCCCAGCUCAUCUGGGGUGGGAGGACAGGCAACUCUCUGAUUAACUUGUCUGAACACGGCGGCUUCGUCGUGGCCGUGGCCGCGCCCAGGGAAGGGAAGGGGCUGGGGUUGCUGUUUGUGCUGGAUGGCUGCCAGGCAGGCAGGAAGUGGGGGUGGGAGAGUCCCCCAGACCCUUCCUCCCAUCCACGGGUCUUGGCAACACAUCUUCCGUUGUACUGAUGGGCUUCAGUGGGGACAAGGCGGUCCUUGAGAGACAGAACGUCCCUAGAAUGUCCCAGGCCAUUAGAAGAUGCACUUGAGAAUUCGGGGACCGCUCCCCUUCCCCCGUGACUCAGCAGGAGCUGCGGCGUUUCUGCGCAGCAGUGAAGCGAGGGAGUGGCAAGCUCAGAGUGCACAGAAAAGUGUGCGGUGAACCUCGGACAGUCGCUUCUACCCGCGGGCUUGGCACCUCCUCCAGGCGUGUUUCCUAUCGCGGCACCACGUGACAUUCGUGGUGUGGAUGUGGUUUCUCCACAUAAACAUUUCUCAUUUGAUUAGAUUUUUCACGGGGACGUAACAAGCCAUCUCAUGUAUGUCUCAUCGUUCACUUGCUGUUUCCAAACUCUGCUCUGACAAACCGCCCCCCCACUGUGAAAACCGGCUUCGUCGGCUGCCCGGCCCCGGGGCCCGGGGUCUGCUGGUCGGAGGCUGACGUCCAGGUGCUGCUGACCGGAAGGGCUGAGACCCGCUGGCUGCUGAAAGCACAGGCUGUUCCCGUCUUUCCUCGGGCAGCACUUUUCAUGACACAGAAUGCCCUUUCAAGCUGGCCCUCCCCACAAAGCCCACAGGCGUGGGCUCACCCCCUGCCGGGGGGCUCCCAACCUGGGCGAGGAGAGAGAUGAAACCAAGACCCCCACCCGGUGGAGGAUGGUGACCACAGGCUGCCCACCAGCACGGAGACCCCAGACUGGCUGGAACCAGAAGGUGGAUGAUGUUGACUCCCGAUGACCUCACCACCAGCCAAUCAGAGGAAAGUUCAGGAGCUGCAACCCUCACCCCAAACGCUGCCUUCCCUGAAAGCCAUUGGGAAGUUUGGGUCUUUUGAACACGAGCUGCCUGGUCUCCUUGCUUGGCACCUGCAGUAAUAACCACCAUGCUUUUCUUCACCACAACCCAGGGUCAGUAGGUUGGCUUUGCUGCGACCAGGCUAGCGGACACAAGUUUGGUUCGGUUACAACGCCGACAGACACACAUGCACACACCACACACAGUCAGAAAGAGCUCACACACGGACUCACAUGUCCCCUUCACCCACACCCAUCGACAGACACACAUGGCUCAUGGACCCCACCCUGCCCCUCCAUCCACAUAUACAACAAAAGUUUUGCAUUUCAAUUCAAUGCUGUUCUCUUUCAUUUUUAAAAAAUGUGGUCACAGUCCUCUAAGUUGCUUUCUCUCCUCGCCGUGGACCACGCACAC